rnacentral:SRP_RNA from 1 species
GCCAGGUGUGGUGGUGUGCACCUGUAAUCCCAGCUACUUGGGAGGCUGAGGCAGGACAAUCGCUUGAACCCAGGAGGCGGAGGUUGCAGUGAGCCAAGAUUGCACCACUGCACUCCAGCCUGGGUUACAAAGCGAGACUCUGUCUCGA